rnacentral:rRNA from 1 species
ACGCUAGCGGCAGGCCUAAUACAUGCAAGUCGAGGGGUAGAUAAGUGCUUGCACUUAUUGAGACCGGCGAACGGGUGCGUAACACGUAUGCAACCUACCUUCAACUGGAGAAUAGCCCGAAGAAAUUCGGAUUAAUACUCCAUAAUUUUACUUUAAGGCAUCUUAUAGUAAUUAAAGCUCCGGCGGUUGAAGAUGGGCAUGCGGUCCAUUAGUUAGUUGGUGAGGUAACGGCUCACCAAGGCCACGAUGGAUAGGGGGUCUGAGAGGAUGAUCCCCCACACUGGUACUGAGACACGGACCAGACUCCUACGGGAGGCAGCAGUAGGGAAUAUUGGACAAUGGGCGAAAGCCUGAUCCAGCCAUGCCGCGUGCAGGAUGACUGCCCUAUGGGUUGUAAACUGCUUUUAUAUGGGAAGAAACUCCCCGACGUGUCGGGGCUUGACGGUACCAUACGAAUAAGGAUCGGCUAACUCCGUGCCAGCAGCCGCGGUAAUACGGAGGAUCCAAGCGUUGUCCGGAUUUAUUGGGUUUAAAGGGUGCGUAGGCGGAAUAAUAAGUCAGUGGUGAAAGCCUGUAGCUCAACUACAGAACUGCCAUUGAAACUGUUAUUCUUGAGUUAGGUCGAGGUGGAUGGAAUGUAUCAUGUAGCGGUGAAAUGCUUAGAUAUGAUACAGAACACCGAUUGCGAAGGCAGUUCACUAGACCUACACUGACGCUGAGGCACGAAAGCAUGGGGAUCGAACAGGAUUAGAUACCCUGGUAGUCCAUGCUGUAAACGAUGGAAAUACUCGAUGUUGGC